rnacentral:rRNA from 1 species
CCCCGUCUCCCCAGGCCCAGUCCCCACCGGAUAAACCCUAGCCUCACCAAGCCCCACAUCUCGCGCUCCUCCCUCCUCCAUCCUCGUUAGCCGCCGCUGCCGUUCUGCCUCCCUCCUCUCUCCCCUACAACCACGUCGCCAGGAGGAAACCGCCGUUCGUGGCGCCAUGCCGCUGCCGGGGUGUUGUGCACGCUUCGUUCCCCACAGCUCCUCCCUCAUCCUCGCUCAUCACCGCCGCUGCCUGCUACUCCCCUCCACCAUCGUUGGUGCUUCUGGGUCGAAUCUGGCGUUGGUGGGUUGGAGCUCGAGCUAGAGGCCAAGACGGGGAAGGUUAGAAAAAUGAGAGACUGGAUGGAGGUGCUCGAGACCGAGGAAGCUGGAGAUGCACAAUUAGCUUCACUGGCCAUCCGGUGGUUGGAUCACGAGCCAAUUCUCUGGUCGCGAUGGGGUUGAGCUGCGCAGGAGGGGGAGGAGGCUGGCGACAGGGAACCGGGCCAGGGAGGAGGCAAGGUAUUUGUUGUCCCGUGUUUGUCUCUUCACGUUUUCCUCCUACCAUGUAUCUGUUUGUUUCCAGAGUGGAUCCAUGCCACCAAAUUCUUGGAUAAAUAAUGAGUGCCUACAUAUGUAUGCUGACAUGUGAGUUAAUUAUUUGAAAAAAAAUAUAAUCAUAUAUGUAUUGCCAACAAUUUUUAUGUUUAAAGCAACCAAUUUUGUGAAAAGAGUGGAGAGAAAGAUACAUGUGCAAUUUCUUGAUGUUACAUCGGAUGGAUACUCGAUCUUUAAACAUAAGCACAGAUGAAUAUGUACAAAUUCGAGGAAAGGCCAAUGAAAUAGUUGUCUGUACACAUAUGUGCCAGUUUUAUACCUGGUUGUCUGCUUGCAUUAUUUAUUCGGUUUCAAUUCAGUUUGAGUAGAUUGUUAUCCGUGAGCGAUACUUGCUACUAUUUGUCGCCAUGCACCAAUUUGCAUACCUAUUUUAGGCACAUAAACUAACCAUGACUGAAAAUCAUGUAUAUAUAAUUUAGUAUGAUUCAUGGUGAGAAAAUCAUGAUUUAAUAAACGAAAGGUGGUUUGUUUUGCUAACAGUAAUGAGUAUAAAUGUAAAUCGCAGAUCAUACGCUGCUGCUAGAGGCUCCAUGUUGUUUAUGCUAGACAACACAACGGUGCUUGUGUUAUCUAUAGUUGAAGUCGCAGUUUAAUAUUCUUUGCUUUAUGCUUGUGUUAUAUGUGGUUGAAGGGACAUCCUUGUUAGUUUGCAUGGUCUAUGUAAGAAGGGGCAGUACAAUGCUUGCCAAGUUUGUUUAUAUUCUGAUGGCUGUUGAAUUCUGGACAAUGGAGAGUUGAAUUUGUUACGUACAUAGGUACUAGCCAUAUAGAAACUUAUUAUACGUACAGUCCUAUGUUCGUUCUGCUUGCAUGUUAGAGAAAGAGCUUCUGCCCCGAUGUGAGUAAUCCUAUGGGAAUUAGCAACGUUGGUUGUACUUUCAAGCAGGCAGAAUCCAAUGCAAGUUUUUGGAGCAGGCGACAUGUUCAACAGUUAGGUGUGGCGGAGAUGCGUAUGUUCAGAUGGAUGUGUGGCCACACGAGGAAGGAUUGAGUCCGGAAUGAUGAUAUACGAGAUAGAGUUGGGGUAGCACCAAUUGAGGAGAAGCUUGUCCAACAUCGUUUGAGAUGGUUUGGGCAUAUUCAGCGCAGGCCUCCAGAAGCUCCAGUGCAUAGCGGACGGCUAAAGCGUGCGGAGAAUGUCAAGAGAGGGCGGGGUCGACCGAUUUUGACAUGGGAGGAGUCCGUUAAGAGAGACCUGAAGGAUUGGAGUAUCGACAAAGAGCUAGCUAUGGAUAGGGGUGCGUGGAAGCUUGCUAUCCAUGUGCCAGAGCCAUGAGUUGGUUGCGAGAUCUUAUGGGUUUCACCUCUAGCCUACCCCAACUUGUUUGGGACUAAAGGCUUUGUUGUUGUUGUUGUUGUUGUUGUUGUUGUUGGGUUCCAGAACAAACGACUAGGUAUUACCAAAGAGGUCAUUCCACUGGUGGCUAGCAUAAUAUCUUUAUGUCGGGACAAGUAAGAUGACAGAUCAUUUCUCAAAUAAUAUGCCACUGUUCUCAAUAAUAUGCCGCUGUCCUCAAUGGUCUUUGGUGCAGCGAUCCAAGCAAGCAACCAUCAUUCUACCAGCUCUUGUCAUCGCUGAAGAAAUUACAGUGGUUACAUUGAUACAUAAAGCCUAUGACAAUUUGUGAGUGUUGUUUGUGCAAUAUACUGGUUUUAUGGCAGGUGCAUGUAUGAAUUCAGAUGGUAGUGGUCUCCUUGUUUACAGUUAUAAGAAUAAUAAAAAUAUUUAUAAUGUUCUUUUCACUAUUACAAUCUCAUAGAUUACAUUACCUGCUUCCAUUAGAAAGGAACUGUGGCUCAUGGGUUUACUGGAUGAUCUUUUUGAUAGACAUUUUAAAAAUAGCAUGGUUUAACACAUGGGCUUUCUAUUACGAGUAUUGA